rnacentral:rRNA from 1 species
UUUAUGGAGAGUUUGAUCCUGGCUCAGGAUGAACGCUGGCGGCGUGCCUAAUACAUGCAAGUCGAGCGAACGGACGAGAAGCUUGCUUCUCUGAUGUUAGCGGCGGACGGGUGAGUAACACGUGGAUAACCUACCUAUAAGACUGGGAUAACUUCGGGAAACCGGAGCUAAUACCGGAUAAUAUUUUGAACCGCAUGGUUCAAAAGUGAAAGACGGUCUUGCUGUCACUUAUAGAUGGAUCCGCGCUGCAUUAGCUAGUUGGUAAGGUAACGGCUUACCAAGGCAACGAUGCAUAGCCGACCUGAGAGGGUGAUCGGCCACACUGGAACUGAGACACGGUCCAGACUCCUACGGGAGGCAGCAGUAGGGAAUCUUCCGCAAUGGGCGAAAGCCUGACGGAGCAACGCCGCGUGAGUGAUGAAGGUCUUCGGAUCGUAAAACUCUGUUAUUAGGGAAGAACAUAUGUGUAAGUAACUGUGCACAUCUUGACGGUACCUAAUCAGAAAGCCACGGCUAACUACGUGCCAGCAGCCGCGGUAAUACGUAGGUGGCAAGCGUUAUCCGGAAUUAUUGGGCGUAAAGCGCGCGUAGGCGGUUUUUUAAGUCUGAUGUGAAAGCCCACGGCUCAACCGUGGAGGGUCAUUGGAAACUGGAAAACUUGAGUGCAGAAGAGGAAAGUGGAAUUCCAUGUGUAGCGGUGAAAUGCGCAGAGAUAUGGAGGAACACCAGUGGCGAAGGCGACUUUCUGGUCUGUAACUGACGCUGAUGUGCGAAAGCGUGGGGAUCAAACAGGAUUAGAUACCCUGGUAGUCCACGCCGUAAACGAUGAGUGCUAAGUGUUAGGGGGUUUCCGCCCCUUAGUGCUGCAGCUAACGCAUUAAGCACUCCGCCUGGGGAGUACGACCGCAAGGUUGAAACUCAAAGGAAUUGACGGGGACCCGC